rnacentral:rRNA from 1 species
AGCAGCCGCGGUAAUUCCAGCUCCAAUAGCGUAUAUUAAAGUUGCUGCAGUUAAAAAGCUCGUAGUUGAAUUUCGGGACCAAUUUGUCGGUCGUGCCUCGGUACGCACUGGCUUAUUGGUUUCUCCCUUCUGAAGAACCAUGAUGUCAUUUAUUUGGUGUCGUGGGGAAUCAGGACUGUUACUUUGAAAAAAUUAGAGUGUUUAAAGCAGGCUCACGCUUGAAUACAUUAGCAUGGAAUAAUGAAAUAGGACGUUUGAUUCUAUUUUGUUGGUUUCUAGGAUCGACGUAAUGAUUAAUAGGGAUAGUUGGGGGCAUUAGUAUUCAAUUGUCAGAGGUGAAAUUCUUGGAUUUAUUGAAGACUAACUACUGCGAAAGCAUUUGCCAAGGAUGUUUUCAUUAAUCAAGAACGAAAGUUAGGGGAUCGAAGACGAUCAGAUACCGUCGUAGUCUUAACCAUAAACUAAUGCCGACCUAGGGAUCGGAUGAUGUUAAUUUUUAAUUGUACUCAUUCGGCGCCUU